rnacentral:rRNA from 1 species
CAAGGUUAACCAUCUAGGGGAGCCGUAGGGAAACCGAGUCUUAACUGGGCGCCAUAGUCUCUGGAUAUAGACCCGAAACCGAGUGAUCUAGCCAUGGGCAGGUUGAAGGUUGAGUAACAUCAACUGGAGGACCGAACCGACUAAUGUUGAAAAAUUAGCGGAUGACUUGUGGCUAGGGGUGAAAGGCCAAUCAAACUCGGAGAUAGCUGGUUCUCCCCGAAAGCUAUUUAGGUAGCGCCUCGGACGAAUACUACUGGGGGUAGAGCACUGUUAAGGCUAGGGGGUCAUCCCGACUUACCAACCCUUUGCAAACUCCGAAUACCAGUAAGUACUAUCCGGGAGACACACGGCGGGUGCUAACGUCCGUCGUGGAGAGGGAAACAACCCAGACCGCCAGCUAAGGUCCCAAAUUACAGCUAAGUGGGAAACGAUGUGGGAAGGCUUAGACAGCUAGGAUGUUGGCUUAGAAGCAGCCAUCAUUUAAAGAAAGCGUAAUAGCUCACUAGUCGAGUCGGCCUGCGCGGAAGAUGUAACGGGGCUAAGUUGUAAACCGAAGCUGCGGCAAUGUUCUUUGAACAUUGGGUAGGGGAGCGUUCUGUAAGCCGUUGAAGGUGUGUUGUAAAGCAUGCUGGAGGUAUCAGAAGUGCGAAUGCUGACAUGAGUAACGACAAGGGGGGUGAAAAACCUCCCCGCCGGAAGACCAAGGGUUCCUGUCCAACGUUAAUCGGGGCAGGGUAAGUCGACCCCUAAGGCGAGGCUGAAAAGCGUAGUCGAUGGGAAACGGGUUAAUAUUCCCGUACUUCUUACAAUUGCGAUGGGGGGACGGAGAAGGCUAGGUGGGCCUGGCGACGGUUGUCCAGGUUCAAGUGCGUAGGCUGAGUGUUUAGGUAAAUCCGGAUACUCUUAAGGCUGAGACACGACGUCGAGCUACUACGGUAGUGAAGUCAUUGAUGCCAUGCUUCCAGGAAAAGCCUCUAAGCUUCAGAUUGUAAGGAAUCGUACCCCAAACCGACACAGGUGGUCGGGUAGAGAAUACCAAGGCGCUUGAGAGAACUCGGGUGAAGGAACUAGGCAAAAUGGUACCGUAACUUCGGGAGAAGGUACGCUCUUGAUGGUGAAGUCCCUUGCGGAUGGAGCUGACGAGAGUCGCAGAUACCAGGUGGCUGCAACUGUUUAUUAAAAACACAGCACUGUGCAAAAUCGUAAGAUGACGUAUACGGUGUGACGCCUGCCCGGUGCCGGAAGGUUAAUUGAUGGGGUUAGCGUAAGCGAAGCUCUUGAUCGAAGCCCCGGUAAACGGCGGCCGUAACUAUAACGGUCCUAAGGUAGCGAAAUUCCUUGUCGGGUAAGUUCCGACCUGCACGAAUGGCGUAAUGAUGGCCACGCUGUCUCCACCCGAGACUCAGUGAAAUUGAAAUCGCUGUGAAGAUGCAGUGUACCCGCGGCUAGACGGAAAGACCCCGUGAACCUUUACUACAGCUUGGCACUGAACAUUGAACCUACAUGUGUAGGAUAGGUGGGAGGCUUUGAAGACGUGACGC